GACAGAGGGUGCAAACGUUGCUCGGAAUCACUGGGCGUAAAGGGCGUGUAGGCGGAUAGAUAAGUCGGGCGUGAAAGCCCCAGGCUCAACCUGGGAACUGCACUCGAAACUGUUUAUCUUGAGUGCCGGAGAGGAAAGCGGAAUACCUGGUGUAGAGGUGAAAUUCGUAGAUAUCAGGUGGAACACCAGUGGCGAAGGCGGCUUUCUGGACGGUAACUGACGCUGAGACGCGAAAGCGUGGGGAGCGAACAGG
rnacentral:rRNA from 1 species